rnacentral:lncRNA from 1 species
CCAUGCUGAAGCCUUUCUUGUGUUCGUUUGCCAAAACACGCAGUAGAGCCAGGAGCCAAGGCAUUCCUCUGCUCCCUGUUCACAGGCAAGAGAUGGAAUCAUUUCUUUUGGACACGCUGUUGAACUGCAUUAUCAACCAGACCGACUGAGAGCGUAAGGCCGGAUGCAGCAGGCUCCUUGGAGUUACAGCACAUGCCAGGCCCGGGAGCACAGUGGGAACGAUAUCCAGACUGUUGUAUGUGCAGCAGCAGAACCAGGGAGCUUCUCCACAAAUUGACUGAGCGGUUCCAGAAGAUUUGGAAGCAAACGGCAGCCUCACAUAAAUGUCCAGGAGAGAACAGAGGCCAGGCCCACACCUGCCCUCGUCCCCAUCCUCACCUGGAGAGCCAGGGCCCCUGCUGUGAACCAGGGGUAAGAAAAAUGAAAAGCCUGGGAUUCCAGCUUAUUGCAAGAAAUAUCCAGAAAGGGCACAGCAGGAAUGCCGGCAGCAGCCUGGGUGCCCAGCCUUGCUCCUGAAAGGUACAGACUCCAGGUAUUCGAAUAGUGUUUAGUAGGGCCCAGGAACCCUGGCCUGCACAGAACGUCCACAUGGGCGGGAUUGGUGCAGCAGGCUGGAGAGAAGGGCUGGGGCGAGUGGUGGUGCUUUGAGUCCGUACUUGACAUAUGAUGGAGAAAACUUCAAUUAUCCGUAUCAGAGAUGGAAGGCUGGGUAUUAUGAGGUGGGGGUUACAGAAGGCCGUUAAGAUUAGGUGAAAGAUGAUAGACUUAUUGGGGUGAUCACUUCGUAGGGUAUAUGAAUGUCUAAUCACUAUGUUGUACACUAGAAACUAAUGUAAUAUUAUAUGUCAACUGUAAUUAAAAAAUAAAUAUUAAAAAAAAAGAUUAGAAGAAAAAAUAAAGGGAGAGAGAAGAAUAGAGGGCGAGGAAAAAAUGAUUGGAUGGAAGGGGAGAAGAAAAUGAAACUUAAGAACCAGAGUUUCUAAAAUCAGCUUCUGUCAAACUUAUGCCAUCAUCUGUUAAAGGUCUAAAACCCACAUUUCAUGAAAAUAUUUUUUAAAUAUUUACCAUUAGGACUGGAAAUCUGAUGUGACAUUAUGGUGUGAAUAAAGCAUUUGGGUUUUGGAGAAAAGCAGAACUGAUUUUAAAUCUUGACACUGCUAUUUCUUAGCUGAGUGAUCUAGGAUAAGCCUCAGCUUCCCUGUGAGUAAAAAUGGUAUGAAAAUACCCACAUACAGGCAACAGCGUCUGAUAGCGUGGGAUGCAGGCAGUGGGCUCGAGAGGACCCUGGCG